GCCGGGGUGGAGAAACUGGUAGACUCGCCGCGCUCAAAACGCGGUGCCCGCGAGGGCGUAGGGGUUCGAAUCCCCUCCCCGGCA
rnacentral:tRNA from 1 species